rnacentral:lncRNA from 1 species
ACUUUAACUAUCGAUCUUAUUUAUGCUCUUCAUUCUUAGAGGAAAUAAAGAUAUAUAACAUAUAAUUAGUUAAAAAUAAUAUUCUAUAUGAUCACGAACAUAUGUCACCAUGCAUAGUUAAUUGUGACUUUGUGAUAGAAAACACGGUAGUUGAUAAUUUUCACGAUCUUUAAAUUUUGCAUCAUAAAAACAGGGUAAUCAAAUUAAAAGAGGCGGAAGGUGUUGGGAAAAUUAGAUGGAAGCAAUGAGGAACCGUUUCAAGAAACCUUUCGAGUUUUAAAUCUUCCGUUGAAGGAGCAACUACCUUAUUCUAUUUUCAAACCA